rnacentral:rRNA from 1 species
CCUACGUGAGGCUGCAGUGAGGAAUAUUGGUCAAUGGUCGGGAGACUGAACCAGCCAAGCCGCGUGAGGGAUGAAGGUACAGAGUAUCGUAAACCUCUUUUGUCAGGGAACAAAGGCGGGGACGUGUCCCCGGAUGAGUGUACCUGAAGAAAAAGCAUCGGCUAACUCCGUGCCAGCAGCCGCGGUAAUACGGAGGAUGCGAGCGGUAUCCGGAUUCAUUGGGUUUAAAGGGUGCGCAGGCGGUCUGUUAAGUCAGCGGUCAAAGCCCGGGGCUCAACCCCGGCCCGCCGUUGAAACUGGCAGUCUCGAGUUGGAGAGAAGUAUGCGGAAUGCGCGGUGUAGCGAUGAAAUGCAUAGAUAUCGCGCAGAACUCCGAUUGCGAAGGCAGCAUGCCGGCUCCACACUGACGCUGAGGCACGAAAGCGUGGGUAUCGAACAGGAUUAGAUACCCCGGUAGUC